rnacentral:rRNA from 1 species
UGGGGAAUAUUGGACAAUGGGGGCAACCCUGAUCCAGCAAUGCCGCGUGUGUGAAGAAGGUCUUCGGAUUGUAAAGCACUUUCGACGGGGACGAUGAUGACGGUACCCGUAGAAGAAGCCCCGGCUAACUUCGUGCCAGCAGCCGCGGUAAUACGAAGGGGGCUAGCGUUGCUCGGAAUGACUGGGCGUAAAGGGCGUGUAGGCGGUUUACACAGUCAGAUGUGAAAUCCCCGGGCUUAACCUGGGAGCUGCAUUUGAUACGUGUAGACUAGAGUGUGAGAGAGGGUUGUGGAAUUCCCAGUGUAGAGGUGAAAUUCGUAGAUAUUGGGAAGAACACCGGU